GAUGAACGCUGGCGGCGUGCCUAAUACAUGCAAGUCGAGCGAACAGACGAGGAUCUUGCUCCUCUGACGUUAGCGGCGGACGGGUGAGUAACACGUGGAUAACCUACCUAUAAUACUGGGAUAACUUCGGGAAACCGGAGCUAAUACCGGAUAAUAUAUUGAACCGCAUGGUUCAAUAGUGAAAGACGGUUUUGCUGUCACUUAUAGAUUGAUCCGCGCCGAAUUAGCUAGUUGGUAAGGUAACGGCUUACCAAGGCGACGAUGCGUAGCCGACCUGAGAGGGUGAUCGGCGACACUGGAACGGGGACGCGGUCCAGACUCGUACGGGAGGCAGCAGAAGGGAAUCUUCCGCAAUGGGCGAAAGCCUGACGGAGCAAAGCCGCGUGAGUGAUGAAGGUCUUCGGAUCGUAAAACUCUGUUAUUAGGGAAGAACAAAUGUGUAAGUAACUAUGCACGUCUUGACGGUACCUAAUCAGAAAGCCACGGCUAACUACGUG
rnacentral:rRNA from 1 species